AUGCCGGGCAGCCUCGCGCGCACCACCGCGCCGGUGGCCAAGAUGAUGCGGCUGUGGAACUACAAGGAAGGCGCGGGUCUUGGCACGCACGGCCAAGGCAUCAUCGUCCCCAUAAAGACCGAAAGGCGUUCUUCAAACGCCGGCAUCGGCCACUCCGAGAAGCCCUACGACAACGGCCUUCCGGGCGCGCCCGCGUCGCUGCCAGCCGGACACAAGUGGGGCGAGUGGGCGGCUGCCUCACGAGCCCUGCGCCUUGAACGGGACUGCUGCGAGAAGACCCUCGCGCUGCUGCGCGACGUGAGGCUUCAGGGCGACGACAGCGCGGAGACGGCGGACGCGCUGGCGGCGAUCGUCAAGUCCGAGGAGGAGGUGCUCCAGGGGAAGCGCGCGCUGGGGGCGUGGAGGGCCGCGCUGCCUCCCUCCGCCGUGCAGCACAUCGUCGAGCGGGUUCUCGCGCCCAGGAUGGCCAUGAAAGCGCGAGAGUGGGAGCCGGUGUGGAACCCGGGCUGUGACCAUUGGCUACGUCCGUGGCUUCCAUUGAUCGGAAACUUGCCGGAGAGCCUCUACGGCAUUGUCGAGAGCAAGAUCAGCGGCGGCAGCUACGACACCAUCUCCCCAUGGAAGGACUACUUCGACCCGGCGCAUUGGGAAAUCUUCUCCCGGCGCCACGUCUUGCCUAGGAUGACACGGUGGCUGCAACAGCUGAGGAUCACGCCCCCGAAGCAGAUCGACGUCAAGUUCCGCACGGUGAUGGAGUGGACGCCCCUCGUGCGCACUCAAGACGUGGUGUCGAUCCUAGAACAAGAGUUUUUCGGCAAAUGGGAGAGCGCGCUGCGCCAUUGGCUGCAGUCCGCGAAGCCAUCGCUGGGGGAGGCCGACGCGUGGUGCACCGGCUGGAAGAACCUCUUCACUCCAGAGCUGCUUGAUGACAAACGCGUGCUCGCGCGUCUGGAGGCUGGCGUUGCCAUGGUGGAUCGACAAACGGAAGACCUCAACCGUCUUGUUUGUCAUAGUUGA
rnacentral:rRNA from 1 species